GUCUUUUUGAUAAUAAUUUAAAGUCUAAUCUGCCCACUGAAUUUAUUUAAAGGGCUGCAGUAUUUUGACUGUACAAAGGUAGCAUAAUCAAUAGUCUUUUAAUUGAAGACUUGUAUGAAUGAUUUGAUGAGAUAUGGACUGUCUCUUUUUUAAAAAUUGAAUUUAAUUUUUUAGUUAAAAAGCUAAAAUAGUUAUAAAAGACGAGAAGACCCUAUAGAGUUUAAUAUUUCAUAUUUUUAUAAUUUUAUAUAAAAUUUGAAAUUAUAAGGGCAUGAAAUAUUUUAUUGGGGUGAUAGAAAAAUUAGACAAACUUUUUUUAAAAUAAUUAACAUAAAUAAAUGAUUAUAUGAUCCAUAAUUUAUGAUUAUAAGAAUAAAUUACCUUAGGGAUAACAGCGUAAUUUUUUUUUUUAGUACAAAUAAAAAAAAAAGUUUGCGACCUCGAUGUUGGAUUAAGAUAAAAAUUAAAUGCAAAAGUUUAAAAUUUUGAUCUGUUCGAUCAUUAAAAUCUUACA
rnacentral:rRNA from 1 species